GUAUGGUGUCUUAUAUAGGGAACAGUGAGAAAGGACCUUCACUCCUCUCCCUGUGGUUCAGUGGCUGAUGUCUCUUCUUAUUUUUUUUCUUCUUCCUCGUCACUCGGUCAAGAAAACAGAACUGUCCCCUUUACAAGAUAAAACCCCUCUGCUUUGGUCUGUAUGACAUCAAAUCGCUCCACUCCCUCCCUUAUCCAUUCCUUAAAUUCCCUUAUACUCUUUACCCAAUCUUAAUAACCCUAGGAACACUUCAGCAAUAUAAUAUCUUAAGAGUCUUCUGUGGAAUCAACUCAGACAGGUUUGAAUUACUUGAAUCGCGUUGACACACCUUCUCCUCACACUCCAUCUCUUAAACGUCCUUUAAAUUCCCCUAUACUCUUUACCCAAGCUUAUUAACCCCACAGAUACUUUCUUACUACAAUAUCUUAAGUCUAGUACGUAAUCAUAUCAGAGGCUGGAAUUGUUUGAAUUUCGCGCGAAAACAUCCGCUCUUCACACCAUCUAAAUUGUGUUAUACUCCUUAUCCAAGCCUACUAACCCUAGGAACACUUCAGAACUACAAUAUCUUAAUAGUAUAGUGCGGAAUGAUGCCUUUACACGCUUCAGUUACGCUCUAAUAAACUCCUUUCAAUAGCGAGAAAAUAUGAGCUGCCAAGUGAAUGGCAUCUACCAUCACCAUGACAACGGGUCGUGAACAGCCAAUCCCAGCUCGCCAUUUCAUCCGGGACCUCAAGAUGGCCACACUGAUACAAUAUAGUUUAAUUUCCAGCCAAGAUCAGAGUUAACCGAGACAUAUAUGGUGGAUAAAAAGCUCUUAAAAAUAUGGGUGUUCCGAGGAAAGUAUACCACUAGGGAAUGUGGGUUACAUUAGUAAUGGAGGAAUAUUUUGAGAGCAGACGAAACUAAAGUGUUGCCACGGUGACGGCGGUGGUGGGCAUGAUACAGAUGCGGGAGGUGGAGUUUGUGCCCGAUGGAGACAUGCAGCUGGACAAAUUCUGUUGCUCAUUGGUCAGACUGGAGUUUACAUGUAUACCUCCUUCACCAUCAUUGGUGGACACUUCACCAUGAGUGAUGCUUGAGCUGUCAUGGUGCUGCUGCUGUUGUCUGCCAUCAUCCACCUGACACAGACCACCCUGCAGACACCUUCAUCCUGGGUGCCACACGUCACUGCUGCUACAACUCAGAGCAACUGGAGCGCAAACCAGGAAGGGAAAUGGUAACUUCUCACUUAAUUUGUUGUUUAUUUGAGGGCCUAAUGACAAAGACAUAAUGGAAUGAGUAUUUGUGAAUGUUUGUUUAUAUCUAGAUACACCAUUCACAUAUCUUAAGUGCCACCUUCCAAAAGCAAUGUCAGCCAGAAAAAUAAGUGAUCAAUCUAAUUACAUUUCAAGUCAAAAAGUUUUCCUUUAACCACUUUGUUCCAGAUGCUUAAAAACAUGCGUUGCUCACAUACAUGGCAUCACCUAGGCUCGUCACUGGUAACUUAUCUAAUUUAUAAUAAUUUCUAAUAUAAUUUCUGUGUGUGUGUGUGUGUGUGUGUGUGUGUGUGUGUGUGUGUGUGUGUGUGUGUGUGCUGAUGCGGCUGAGAAGGUUGCCUUAUGAUAAUUAUUGACAAAUGAAGGUAAUGGAUGCACAUGUCAUUAAUACUUUUUUAUGUGUGUGUGUAUGUGUGUGUGUUAUGUAUACACACAAACACAAACACACACACACAAACGCACAAAGAGAAGUAAUAGACACGCAUCCUUUACCUUCAUUCAUCAAUAAUUGCCAUAAGACGACCUUCCCAGCUGCAUCACUACACACACACACACACACACACACACACACACACACACACACACACACACACACACACACACACACACACAGAACACACACACACACUUACACAUCAUGUAGUGUAGUGGUUAGCACGCUCGGCUCACAACCAACAAGGCCCGGGUUCGAAUGCCGGGCACGGUGAAGCAGAUGGACAAGCCUCUUAAUGUGUAGCCCCUGUUCACCUAGCAGUAACUAGGUACAGGAUGUAACCCGAGGUGAUGUGACUUCGCUGCCCCAGUGUGUGGUGUGUCAUUGGCCUCAGUCCUACCCAAAGAUCAGUCACCAUGAGCUCUGAGCUCUUACACACACACACACACACACACACACACACACACACACACACACACACACACACACACACACACACACACACACACACACACACACACACAGAGAGAGAGAGAGAGAGAGAGAGAGAGAGAGAGAGAGAGAGCAAAAU